GCGCAUGUAGGUGUGUGUGCGCAUGUGCGGGAGGGGCGAAAAUGGCAUCACCCGCUGUGUGGUCAGUAGUAUCAGAGUUCUGUUCUCUCUGACCAGCAAUCGUGCACUCAUCCUGUGUCCAGCUUCCAUCCACCCCCCGCUUCCACAAUGUCCGUGACCAAGCGGUCAGACUGCCAGGCAGCACCUCCCUCCUGAGUUUUAUCUCAGAAGCAGCUGUGUUUCCCAACCCCUCACUUCUGAGGGACUGUGGCUUUGUUCCGCUCAGACCUUCUGCGGGAGGGUCUCACCGAGCACUGGCUGGUGCCGGCCACCCCCAGGAACAUUCACGAGACUGUGCUGCUGCCAAUGCCCAGAGACUGCGGCUGGGUGCCAGCCCGCCCCAGAAAAAGUUCACACCCGCGUGUAGCAGCGGCGUUUCAGGGAUUCUGGAAAAUCACAACUCACAUCUGGCGCCAAGCUUCACCCCCCAACGGCCUUGUCCCAGCACCAGCGAAUGUGGUUGUUCUCCAGGAUCCGCUGGGACGUUUGCCCGUGGGGAGUCCUCCCAGCAGGGGAACCGCCUCCUUUGUGGCCUGAGGACCUCGGUUUCUGCUCCCGGGGAUUCGCCCCUCCCAUCAGAGCUCCACCAGCCGGCUGCGAGCACAGAGUACCAUUGGCAGCUGAGAGAACAGAGGCGCCAAACGAAGAGAGGUGGGUGAACUCACUGCUCAGGACAAAGGCAGCUUCUUCCAAACAUUCCUGGCCAACACUUCACAUCACUGGCAUCUUCACUUAUGUCCAGGGGCAGAAGCUGAAUAUUUGUGGCCCCCAGAGUCUCCUUGAGAAAAGAAAAAGCAGGACCCGUGUCACCUUAGCUGAGAGCUGGCUGUGAAGUGAGCUCCACGGAGGAAUAGCAAGAGGAGUGGAGUGUGGUGCCACAGCAACUGGGGAUGCAGAAGCCAGACCUUGAAGGUGUCUGCAUGCACAGGGAAGACAAGGAAGAUCACGGCAUUCAGAUGACACUGGUGCACAGGCACCAGAUACGACACCCCUGAUAUGUCCACACAACGCUGAGUCUAGUGCAGCUGGAACCACAACAGAAUGGCAUCUUGAGUUCCCAGUGAAAGAGGUUCAGCUCUGUCUUAUGGACACAAAAGACACAGAUUAAAGUGAUUUU